rnacentral:rRNA from 1 species
UUCCCCUAGUAACGGCGAGUGAAGCGGGAAGAGCUCAAAUUUGUAAUCUGGCGGUCUCAGGCCGUCCGAGUUGUAAUCUGGAGAAGCGUUUUCAGUGCCGGCCCGCGUACAAGUCCCCUGGAACGGGGCGUCGCAGAGGGUGAGAAUCCCGUCUUUGACGCGGUCUGCCCGGUGCCAUGUGAUGCGCUCUCGAAGAGUCGAGUUGUUUGGGAAUGCAGCUCAAAACGGGUGGUAAAUUCCAUCUAAAGCUAAAUACUGGCGAAAGACCGAUAGCGAACAAGUACCGUGAGGGAAAGAUGAAAAGCACUUUGGAAAGAGAGUCAAACAGUACGUGAAAUUGUUGAAAGGGAAACGCUUGAAGUCAGUCGCGUCUCUCGGGAUUCAACCGUCCUUCGGGUCGGCGUAUUUCCCGGGGUUUGACGGGCCAGCGUCGAUUUCGACCGUCGUAAAAAGGCGAGAGGAAUGUGGCACCUCCGGGUGUGUUAUAGCCUCCCGUCGUAUGCGAACGGUCAGGGAUCGAGGAACGCAGCGCGCCUCUUAACUGGGGCCGGGGUUCGCCCACGUAACGCGCUUAGGACGCUGGCGUAAUGGCUUUAAGCGACCCGUCUUGAAACACGGACCAAGGAGUCUAACAUGCU